CGGCUGGGCCUGCACCGCGCAGAGAGGGUCUCACGGGCUCCCCUCCCCCCGCCCCGCCCCGCCCCGCCCCGCCGCGACGCGCGGGCAGCACGCAGAAAGCCCGAUCGCUCCCAGAGCAUGGCACAGACAUUAAACCAGAUCUUUGGAGGUAGCGAAGGAUGAACAAGCUGGUGGUACUGUGGCAGCCAUGGAGCUUACUCACUCACAUGUGUCUCCACCUUUCUUUCUCGAUGCUAGAGGAGGUUGGGUCUAAUCUUCAUUUCCCACUUCCAGCACAAGAGUAUAUCUGAAUGGCAGCACAUUUUGAGCCUGGCCUAUAUGGAACAGCAUUAUCCCAUGGAAAACAUUGCAUCAAGAUAACAGUUGGAUUAGAAAUAGAUUAAAAAAAUAAUAAUGAUUGAAUAAAAAUACCCUUACUGAA